UUAAAUUGAAGAGUUUGAUCAUGGCUCAGAUUGAACGCUGGCGGCAGGCCUAACACAUGCAAGUCGAACGGUAACAGGAAACAGCUUGCUGUUUCGCUGACGAGUGGCGGACGGGUGAGUAAUGUCUGGGAAACUGCCUGAUGGAGGGGGAUAACUACUGGAAACGGUAGCUAAUACCGCAUAA
rnacentral:rRNA from 2 species